rnacentral:rRNA from 1 species
ACGUAGGUGGCGAGCGUUGUCCGGAUUUACUGGGCGUAAAGCGCACGUAGGCGGAUCGUUAAGUCGGGGGUGAAAUCCUGGAGCUCAACUCCAGAACUGCCUUCGAUACUGGCGAUCUUGAGUCCGGAAGAGGUGAGUGGAACUCCUAGUGUAGAGGUGGAAUUCGUAGAUAUUAGGAAGAACACCAGUGGCGAAGGCGGCUCACUGGUCCGGUACUGACGCUGAGGUGCGAAAGCGUGGGGAGCAAACAGG